UCAAGCUACAAAGGGCGCAAGGAGAAUGCCUUGGCACUGGGAGCCGAUGAAAGACGUGGUAAGCUGCGAUAAGCUUCGGGGAGGAGCAAACAUCCUUUGAUCCGGAGAUUUCUGAAUGAGGAAACUCACCAGAGUUCAUACUCUGGUAUCCUGUACUGAAUCCAUAGGUACAGGAGGGGAACCGCCUGAACUGAAACAUCUAAGUAGGGCGAGGAAGAGACAUCAAACGAGAUUCCGUUAGUAGUGGCGAGCGAACGCGGAAGAGGGCAAACCGGAAGGAGAAAUCCUUCCGGGGUAUGGACCGCUUUUAGGACUUUAGCUGUUAAUCGAAUGGCAUGGGAAGGCCAACCAAAGAGUGUGAGAGUCACGUAGAUGAAAACGGCGAGAGCUGCGCGAGUUCCAGAGUACGGCCAGACACGUGAAACCUGGUCGGAAGAUGGGGGGACCACCCUCCAACCCUAAAUACUACCCAGUGACCGAUAGCGUAUAGUACUGUGAAGGAAAGGUGAAAAGGACCCCGGGAGGGGAGUGAAAUAGAACCUGAAACCUUGUGCCUACAAGCACAUAGAGCACAUCAACGUGUGAUAUGGUACUUUUUGUAGAACGGUCCGGCGAGCGAUUGUAUGUUGCGAGCUUAAGGUCUUAAGGACUGGAGGCGUAGCGAGAGCGAGUCUGAACAGGGCGUUCAGUAACAUGCAAUGGGCCCGAAACCGGGUGACCUACCCAUGAUCAGGCUGAAGUGAAAGUAAAAUUUCAUGGAGGGCCGAACCGACCUCCGUUGAAAAGGCGGCGGAUGAAUUGUGGGUAGCGGAGAAAUUCCAAUCGAACUCGGAGAUAGCUGGUUCUCCCCGAAAUAGCUUUAGGGCUAGCCUCAUAUUAGAUACCCGGAGGUAAAGCACUGAAUGGCCUAGCGCCCGAGAGGGUAGCGAAGCCUAUCAAACUAAGAAUGCCGGAGUAUUGAUGUAUGGGAGUCAGACAGUGUGAGAUAAAUCUCAUUGUCAAAAGGGAAACAGCCCAGAUCUACAGCUAAGGUCCCAAAUUGUAUCUAAGUGGAAAACGAUGUGGAAAUACGCAGACAACCAGGAUGUUGGCUCAGAAGCAGCCACUCAUUUAAAGAGUGCGUAAUAGCUCACUGGUCGAGCGUCUCUGCGCGGAAAAUUUAACGGGGCUAAGAUACAAACCGAAGCUUAGGCUGCACGUAAGUGCGGGGUAGGGGAGCGUUGUGUAAGCGGAGAAACAGUAGCGUAAGCGGCUGUGGAGUUUACAGAAGUGAGAAUGCCGGAAUGAGUAGCGCGAAUGUGGUGAGAAUCCACAUGGCCGGAAACCUCAGGUUUUUGGAGGAAGGUUCGUCCGCUCCAAGUUAGGCGGGAGCUAAGGUCAGGCCGAAAGGCGUAGCCGAUGCACAGACGGUAGAGAUUCCGUCCCCACCGAAAGAUUUAAGCACAGGGACACUUUUUGAAGGUCGGAGCCAGGUGUUGGUUCUGGUAGUGAUCGAGGGAAAUAUAGUACCGAAGUCCGGCUGGAAGAGAGGCGAGAAAAGCUGUGUGUAUAUCUAAGGUGCCCGUACCGCAAACCGACACAGGUAGGUAGGAAGAAGAUUCUAAGGCCAACGGGAGAAGGGUUGUUAAGGAACUCGGCAAAUUGACCCCGUAACUUCGGGAGAAGGGGUGCUCCAGAGAUGGAGCCGCAGAGAAUCGGCCCAAGCAACUGUUUACCAAAAACACAGGUUUGUGCUAAAUCGAAAGAUGACGUAUACGAGCUGACGCCUGCCCGGUGCUGGAAGGUUAAGAGGAGAUGUGCAAGCAUUGAAUCGAAGCCCCAGUGAACGGCGGCCGUAACUAUAACGGUCCUAAGGUAGCGAAAUUCCUUGUCAGGUAAGUUCUGACCC
rnacentral:rRNA from 1 species